AAGCUUUCUGCAUUUUCUUUCUUCUUUUCUUCUGCUGCUGUGAAAGCAAGUGGCCCAAGAGAAGGGAAGUCACUUCACCAGCCCAAAAUGGCAAUUAAAGAUUAAUAAGCUUGGAAGAAAGAGGAAAAGCACCACCACCUGCCAUCUGAGCAAGAGGAGAGAGCAUCUGGAUGCAGAUACAUGUACAUCAGGAGCCCAGUCCAAGACUUUGGAGAGCUGUUCCAUACAUUCAAGCUCCAUAAUCACACACACCAUCUUUCUCUGGGCAGGUGCCUUAUUUGAACAUUGAAACUGUUGGAUUUUGCUCUACAGAAACAUGCAGAGCUUCUUACAUCAACAAAGAUGAAAGGACCCCAGUUCUCCCUCAAAAGCACCCAGUUAGGAUGGUCAGAGUACAAAGGGAUGAAGCGUAUACAGCCCUGUUAUCAAAAAAGGAUAAACCACGCUUAGAAGAUCCUGGACACCACUUAUCAGCUGCUUUUAAACUUGAAUAAUCAUCAAGAGAAGUUCUUCAUAAGUGUUUCACUAUGCAGUGACUAUAAAGAUAUUUUAAAGUAAGUUUUAGAUUAAGAUGGAAGGAUUUAAAAUGUGGUAUGCAUUAGCUUCAAAAAUAGCUAAAACAAGCUCAUGAAGACCUAUUUUUCUGAAGAGCCUGAUCAGCAAAUUUGAGAAAAUGAAGUCAAAGUUGGACAUGCCACAAAUGAGUUCCUGAGAGAUCCAGGGCCUCUGCACUUGAAUGAAUUCAUAAACAAUCAACAAAAGAGCAGAGCAGUGAGAAGCCUGGUGAUGACACUCCCUGAUGUACGGCAUUAAAAAUGAAAGCCAGCCGCAAAGAGCUCUGGAAGAUCUUUACAAUAUUGAAUUACAGCGUGCUAAAAUGGCACCAAAAAAUCUAUAUAGCUGGAGGUAAAGAUGGAAAGUGAAAGAUGUGGGAAAAGCAGUUUAAACUUCAUAUACAAAGCAACAGUUUCUGAACUA